GUGAACGCUGGCGGUAGGCCUCACACCUGCAAGUCGAACUGGAGCACAGUAAGAGCUUGCUCUUACGGGUGGCGAGUGGCGGACGGGUGAGGAAUACAUCGGAAUCUACUUUUUCGUGGGGGAUAACGUAGGGAAACUUACGCUAAUACCGCAUACGACCUACGGGUGAAAGCAGGGGAUCUUCGGACCUUGCGCGAUUGAAUGAGCCGAUGUCGGAUUAGCUAGUUGGCGGGGUAAAGGCCCACCAAGGCGACGAUCCGUAGCUGGUCUGAGAGGAUGAUAAGCCACACUGGAACUGAGACACGGUCCAGACUCCUACGGGAGGCAGCAGUGGGGAAUAUUGGACAAUGGGCGCAAGCCUGAUCCAGCCAUACCGCGUGGGUGAAGAAGGCCUUCGGGUUGUAAAGCCCUUUUGUUGGGAAAGAAAAGCAGCAGGUUAAUACCCCGCUGUUCUGACGGUACCCAAAGAAUAAGCACCGGCUAACUUCGUG
rnacentral:rRNA from 1 species